GGACCCGCACAAGCGGUGGAGCAUGUGGUUUAAUUCGAUGCAACGCGAAAAACCUUACCUAUACUUGACAUACUUGGGAGCUCUUGUAAUGAGAGUGUGCCUUUUGGAACCAAGAUACAGGUGCUGCAUGGCUGUCGUCAGCUCGUGUCGUGAGAUGUUCCGUUAAGUCGGAUAACGAGCGCAACCCUUACCCUUAUUUGCCAGCGAUUCGGUCGGGAACUAUAAGGGGACUGCCGGUGAUAAACCGGAGGAAGGUGAGGACGACGUCAAGUCAUCAUGGCCCUUACGAGUAGGGCUACACACGUGCUACAAUGGGGAAUACAGACGGACGCUAAGCCGCGAGGUGGUGCU
rnacentral:rRNA from 1 species